rnacentral:lncRNA from 1 species
AUAUUUACUUUAUUAAUAAUAUCAAAGCACAUUAUUUAUGUCAUAACUACAAGCUUUACAUAAUAACACUACACAAUUGAUCAAACAAUUUUACUCUAUGAAGCUUCGUUGACCAAAAAUAAUCCAACGUAUUGGUUAACUGCAUCUUGACAUCUGCUUCAGUUAUUCCUGCUAAGAUAAUAAAAACACAAUAUUAUUUGAGAUGCACAAUAUCAUAUAUUAUAAAGUAUAAAUAACUAAGAUGUAAAUGUAUUGAAAUUAUAAGAAUAUUGUAUUGAUUUCCUCACCCAACUCAGGCACAUAAAGCGCAAGAAUGGAAUCUGUAGCAAAGAACUUAUCUUCUUUUUCACCAUCCCACUUGGAAGUAAAAAUAUUUCGACAUAUUAGACAUCAUCAAAACGAGACAAAGAGAAACAUUGGGAACAAACACAACAACGGGCCCUUAGGCCCCUUACCUUCCAAAAAAUAAUCAACUUUAAUGAAAUCCAUUCACCAUCACAGUUAGAUCCCAUCUAAGAAUUCAAAUAGGUACAACAAUGAGCCCUUACCUUCCAGUUUACAAAUACAACAUUGGGAACAAUAAUAAGAUGAGGACCAAAAUAUGGAUAAUGCAGUCGUAGAUGGGAUCUCUAUUUGGCAUGCGCUUCGUAGGCUAUGGUGAUCCCACCUCGCUGGGUUGGCAGACCAAUGAAUAGCUAAACAGAUAUAAUGAAAAGAAAAAUGAGUUGUGCUGCUCUUUAUUUCAUUUAAAUAUACGAAUGAAUCUAUGAUUGUUAAGAGAUUGAUAUAAAGAAUCCCACCAUCUCCAAUAAAUCGAAAAAUAAGGGAAUUGGAUGAAAGUAGCUCCAACUCACCCCACUUUUAACUCCACUUCGCUGAUGGAGUAUGAUUUGAAGAGUUUGAAAGUUUUAAUGUGUUUUGGAAUUUAUUUUUUGAUAUAAUCUAAUAAUGGAAUUUGGGUAAUUGAUGGAAGACAAUUUUUUUAAAAGUCACGGUUCUAUAAAUUAGUAAUAGCCUUGUGGUCCUUUUUUUUAAAAUUAAUUUAAAGACAUAUCAAUAGAUAAAUAAAUAAUUUGUCGUUAAUAGUUAUUUUUAAAUAAUUGAAUUGUCCCAUACUAUCUUCGACCAUGACUUAAUCACUCUCCCACUUAUUCAAAAACGCAGCUAACCGCAUAAGAUAGAUAUCUUCCCAUCUGCACAUCAAGUUCUAGCCCAAAGAAACAAUAAAAACAGGCCUUUGGGGACACUUGAAACAAAGUCUAUUCAAUCACUUACCAAGGAUGUAAUCAAGGUAUGCUUUAUCAAUAAGGUAUGAAAAGACCCUAUAAUUUGUAUGCAAUGUAAUGCUGCUCUUUAGUGGUGUAUGCAAUGAAAUUUGUUUUCACACCUUAUUACCAGUAAUAAGGUCAAAGUGGCAUGCAAAUGCAUGCAAGAUGAUCUUCAUUCAAUAAGAUAAUGCAAAGUCUCACAUUAGAACCCAGACCCUAGGGUUACAACCUCUGAAGAUAGCUUUGACAUUAGAAUAGUUCAACUCCAAAAUUCACCUGACACAAAUGUGAAUGAUCUGAGAUGAUUUAGAGUUAUUCAAAGUAUUUAAAUUGAAUCAAUAUGCUAUAAUGUUGACCAAUUGAUCAAUGCAAUUGAUGAAUCAUAUGCACAACUAUCUCUGCAUACUUUAAACAAAGUAUUCAUGAGCUUGCAAGGCUACAAUGCAAGAAAUCACGAAAGAAAUGGGCCACAAUGCCUACAGGAUACUACGUAUGAAAAAAGAUGCACUAGAGAGUGGAUCAUCAACUACUCCUAACUAACUUGGAAGUGCCACUUAACUUAGUAGAAGAGUGCAUAAUUUACAUGUUUGAAAAUGCUUCAAUGCUUUGUGUGGAAGGGCUAAUGGAUCAGUUCCUACAAUGAGGAAUUUAGAAAAUGAUGUUAGAUAUUUUUGUACAGACAGAAAACAUGUAAAGAUGCCUAUUGUUUUUUUUUUUUUUUUUUUUUGUUAGAAGGCUACUAUUUUUUAUGCCUAGAAAAACAUGUGUGUAGCAACAUAGUCUACUUGUUUAAGGUGUAAAAGAUGAUAUUUUUUUUAAUCCAUUAACUCUACAUGCUUUACAUAUGAAUGCACCAAACAAGCACAAAACAUAAUCCAAACCUCACAUAUGAAGAUAACAGCCAGCCAACAACCACAAAACACAAUCCAAACCUCACAUAUGAAGGAAGAACCGGCCUACAACCACAACACACAAUCCAACAGGGUCAUAACCUUAAAUCAUUGAAAAUUUUCAAAUAAAAUGUAGGCAAAAAUAAUCAUUUCAGCAUAAUUUCAAUACCGACGACAUAGUACUAGCCCACGUACCCCAAAUCGUAACAAUAUAAUCGAGUGUAGGGCAUUCAAGUAUCUCAAAUAUAGUGUGAUAAAAAAAUUAUUAUUUUAAUUUAAUUCAACCUACCUACAAUAAAAAAACAAGUGUAAAAGGAAACUCCUCACAAAUUUGCAGAUUAGGGGUAGCAAGAUUCACAACAUGUAUCACUUGUAGAAGGCUUCGCUCAAACCACCUGCUCCUCAGUCUUGGGGACAUCCAUCCAGCCUUCAUAAGUGCUUGCCCAUAUCGAUUCGUCUACUAUGUCGUCGAGAGAUAUGUUGGACCAUGGUGGCAGUAAGUCGGCGACGAUGAGGUCGCUCAUAUCGUCAUCUAACCCCAAAGAAUCGAGGGUCGUCGAUGGAGGAUCGGAGCUUGUCUUCUUUUUCGUCGUUGCGGCGGACGACGGAUGAUGGAUUUGGGCAGGUUUGCACAGAGAAGGGGUUGCACCGACAGAGAAUUCGAGAGAGAAGUGUAAGAGGCGGUUGUAUUAGAGUGAAGCAAUAAAUUAAAAAU